rnacentral:rRNA from 1 species
AUAAGAGGUCCAGCCUGCCCAGUGACACUGUUCAACGGCCGCGGUAACCUAACCGUGCGAAGGUAGCAUAAUCAUUUGUCCUUUAAAUGGGGACUAGCAUGAAUGGCAUCACGAAGAUUAUACUGUCUCCUUUUUCCAAUCAGUGAAACUAAUCUCCCCGUGAAGAAGCGGGGAUACACAUAUAAGACGAGAAGACCCUAUGGAGCUUUAAGUAAAACAACAUUUGCCGUUAUACAUCUUAAUUUAAGAAAAUUAACCUAUACUAUAGCAUUUUGAUUGUUAGCUUUAGGUUGGGGUGACCGCGGAGUAAAAAAGAACCUCCACAUUGAAAGGGGGAAAUCCCCUAAACAAAAAGUUACAACUUUACGUAUCAAUAAAUUGACAUCAAUUGACCCAAAAUUUUGAUCAACGAAACAAGUUACCCUAGGGAUAACAGCGCAAUCUGCUUCGAGAGCCCAUAUCGACAAGCAGGUUUACGACCUCGAUGUUGGAUCAGGG